rnacentral:rRNA from 1 species
CCUACGGGUGGCAGCAGUGAGGAAUAUUGGUCAAUGGCCGAGAGGCUGAACCAGCCAAGUCGCGUGAGGGAAGACGGCCCUACGGGUUGUAAACCUCUUUUGUCGGGGAGCAAAGAGAGUCACGUGUGACUCAUUGAGAGUACCCGAAGAAAAAGCAUCGGCUAACUCCGUGCCAGCAGCCGCGGUAAUACGGAGGAUGCGAGCGUUAUCCGGAUUUAUUGGGUUUAAAGGGUGAGCAGGCGGAGUGGCAAGUCAGCGGUAAAAUUACGGGGCUCAACCCCGUACUGCCGUUGAAACUGCAUCCCUUGAGUGCGAGAGAAGUAUGCAGAAUGCGUGGUGUAGCGGUGAAAUGCAUAGAUAUCACGAAGAACUCCGAUAGCGAAGGCAGCAUACCGGCGCGCAACUGACGCUGAUGCACGAAAGCGUGGGUAUCGAACAGGAUUAGAUACCCGGGUAGUC